CGGGGGAUAGAGACUGAGGGAAAGAGAGGCCGAGGGCCAUAGUGACAAUGGGACAUAAAGAGUGACAGAGAUUCAUUGGGCUACAGAAAUGUUGGGACAGAGAGGCUGAGAGGCAUAGUAGCUGCGCUGUAUAGAGUCAGAGUCUACAGGGUGGGGGCUACCCAAGCUACAUAGACACAGAGUGGUCACGGGGCGUAUAGAAGCUGAGCUGAAUAGACACACAGGCCUCAGAAGACAUAGAGCCUCGGUGGUAGAGACAUAGAGGCCAAGGUAUAUAAGGACAGAGAAGGCUUGGGGGAAUGGUGAGCGCAUAGAGGCUGAGGGAAAGAGUCCGAGGGCCAUAGAAACAAUGGUGAAUAGAGAGGGGCGGAGAUGCAGAGAGCCUCAGAUAUAGGAACAUAGGUACUAAGGGGCAUAGAGUCUCAGCAACAGAGAAGCCACGCGGGGCAUAGAGGCUGAGCUGCCUAGAGACACAGAGGCCAUUGGUGGGGACGGGGACAUAAAGGCUAAGUUCCUAGACACAGAGAUACGAAGGUAUAGAGGCCAAGAUUCUUAGAGACACCAAGGGGCUUAAAGGCUACCGGAGGGGCUAUAGAAGCUGAGGAAAAGAUAGCCCGAGGGCCAUAGAAACACAGGGACAUAGAAAUAGGGGGACAGAGAGAACACAGGGGAAUAGAGGCUGAGGCUGCAUAGAGAGACUGUCCAUGGGAAGGGCCGUAGAGGCCAAGGGGCCUAGACACAGAGACUCCAAUGGACAUAGAAGCAGACCUGUAUAAAGACGGAGAUGCUGCGGGGGUAGUGGGGCAUAGAGGCUGAGUGAAAGUGAUGCCGAGGGCCAUAGAGAUACAGAGGGCCAACAGAGAGGUUGAGGGGCAUACAGGCCAGGCUGCAUAGAGAUAGAGUGGCCACGGGGGUUGGGGAGGUGACAUAGAGGCUGAGGGAAAGAGAGCCCGAGGGCCAUAAAGAAAUAGGAACAGAGGCUGACAGGCAGAGGGGCAUAGAGGCUGAGCUGAAUAAAGACAGAGAUACCACUGAGGACAUAGAGGCUGAACUGCAUAGAGUCAGACAGGCCACAGUGGGGUGGAGGUGAGGGAUAGAGGCUUAACUGUAUAGAGACAGGCCACAGGGGACACAGGCUGAGCUUCAUAGAGACAGAGGGGCCAUGGGGGGCAUAAAGAUAGAGGGACAGAGAGGUUGAUGGGAAUAGUCUCACAGACAAAGAUGCAGAGGGUCUUAGAGACAGAGGCUAGGAGGGACAAAAAGGUGGAGGGACAGAGAGGUCGUGUCAUAUAGACUGAGCUCUAUAGAGACAGGCCUAGGAAAGGAAAGGGUGAGGGGCCCGAUAUGCUCAGGGCCAUAGAGAUAGAGGGACAGAGAGGCCAAGAGUUCUGACAGGCCUAAAGGAGGAGAGGCUGAGAGGCAUAAAGACAAAGGGACAAGGAGGUUCCAGGGGCAUAGAGGCCAAGCUGAAUAGAUACAGAGGUGCCAAAGGGCCGGAGAGGGUGAGGGCCAUAGAGGUAGAGGGGCAGGGAGGCCAAAGGGCAUACGACCUGAGGGAAAAAGAGAGGCCCAGGGACAUAGAGGCUGAGAGGCAUAAAGACAGGGUAGAAGGGGCAGGUGCAGAGGGGUUUAGAGACAGCAGCUGAGGAUAGGAGAGGCUGAGGGACAGAGAAGCUGUGGGACAUAGAGGUUCCUGGACAGAGAUGCAGAACAACCUAGAGAGACAGGCUAGGAGAGGCUGAGGGAAAGAGGCCAAGGGACAUAGUGGCUAAUGGACGUUGACGCGUAAGAGUUGGAGGGCUGGAGAGGCUGUUGGGCAUAGACACAGAGGGACAAAGAGGUCUCAGGGCAUAGAGGCGGAGAUGCAUAGAGGGUUAAUCACAUACAGACAGAGGCCAAGGGGCAUAAAGCUGAGGGACAGAGAAGCAGAGGGUAGAAGAGGAUGUGGGCCAUAGAGGUGGAGAGGCUGAAAAUCAGAAGCACAAAGACAGAGGUGGAGGCAGAGAAGGGGGCUAGAGGGUAGAGACUUGGAGAAGAGACAGAAGCAGAGGAGCAAAGGAAGAAAUGUAGGGGGAGACAGGCUAAGGGGUAGAAAGGCAGAGGAGUGGAGGCUGAGGCCUGGACACAGAGGCAGAAGCAGAGGUUGAGAGGCAGUGAGCCACACAGGCCAAUUCAGAGUGAAGUAGAGAUAGAGAGGCAGAAAGGCACAAGCUGAAAUAACACAGACAGAGGCAAGAAAACCAGGAAGCAGGGGUAGAGGGGCAGAGAGGCAAGGUAAGAAAUGGAGAUGCCCAGAACUCUAAAGGCAGAGAGGCUGGCAAAGAGAGGCAAAGAGGCGAAAGUAGAGCUAAAGCCUAGUUAGAGAGGCAGAAAACUGCAAAGGGAGAGUGUUGGGAAACAGGCUGAUACAAGGCUUUCUCAGGGGCCCCAACGAAUGGAAAAAGGGAACAUUAGUUCUGUGUCCUUGAUCAGGUGCAGUCUGGGGCUUGGGCCAGGGCCUCAGAGGAGUCAGAGUUGCAGUUUCUGGGAUCUGGGCUGUGGCUAUCAGUCCUCCUUCCGGGUGCUGUGUGUGAAGCAUUCCGUGUUCUCUUUGCCAUCAUUGUAUCGUUUAGCUUUCUGCUGACCUUGACUAUCCGUCUCCCCUGCCAACAGGCCCUGUCACAAAGAAUGACCCAUUGGCCCAACCCAAUUGGCACCUGAACAGAGACCAGAGUAAGGAGAAAAGGGUUCGGCAACAGUUCCCAAAUUAGGAGGCACCAUAUUUUCUCCAAUACAUUCGAGUAUAUUCUGGUCUCCUUGGUCUUUUGGCAGAGGUGAUGGUCCGUCUUGGGUUCCCGAGAGUCUUGUCAAACACUCCCAGAUCACAAAAGCGAUGGCUGCAUCACAGGCGCCAGAAGUUGAGGGUGCAGAAGAUGAUGAGUUUCAAGGCACAGCAGAGCCCAAAGCGUCCUAUCCAGUCUACCCAGAAGCGUCUGUUCCAGACUUGGAAACAGAUUAAACACUUUACUGCUGAAGGCAUUCAAGUGGUCAAGGCCAAAGGGCAACGUAUUUCUCCUACUCGCUUAGUUUCAGCAUUUCUGUCAUUAUUCUCUGUCCCGUUGGCAGAAAGUGUGGGGGUCUACUGGGCUUAGGUGCCUGAUCCUGCUUUGGCCCACCCAGUCACUUGGGAGGAUUCAGCAACUGGAGUGUUUACUAAUUAUAUAGUGGUUUUGACAGUCCUGAUAUUUCUCAUGUGCUGCCUUGCACUGUGCUCUCAUCCAUCGUUCCCAUUUGUCAUUGGUGAGUCACUAUGCAUGUGUCCCUCUAAUCCAAGUGAUCCAAAAAACUUGUCUUUGGGGUACAGGAGAGUUUUCUAAACAUCAUCAGUUCGCCCAUCAAUUUAGUUUUCCAGUCUCUAAUCAUUCACAAGUUACCCCAUUGGAUGGAUGUGUCCAAGUAUGCAAUGAGAAUCCUGUGCCCUGGUUUCCAGAAUGGAAUUCCCAUGCCAUGGUUCUAAAGAAUUCUGUGCCUCUGAAUGGAUGACCUAAGGUGCUUGUCGACUUGUCUUAGAGGUGGCCACCUGGCCUGGAUGAAGAUAACUUAGGUGCCCAGGGCCAUGUAGGAGGAAUGGCAAAUGGCUUUAGAACUCAUGGAAUUUGGCUCACAGGUUACCACAGUCACAUGGGUGAGCCUUGGUGUGGUAAAGCCCCAAGGACCACGUGCCCUGAGGACUUUAUGCUGUUACAGAGUUCUGCUCUGCUUGCUGCCCUCAUAUCCCUCUUCAUCUAAGAACUGUAUGAAAACUUUAAGGGGGCUUCCAGCCCCUCACUGGGCAGUAUCUCUGGCACUCACAGUACAAAUGUUUGGUCUCUUUCAGGCACUGCUGCUGGAGCAGAUUAAUGAUUCUAUCACCACCCUAGGAAAGAACUUAGAGAUGCAGAUUGUCAGCAGUUACCACGAUUCUUAGAAAACAUUUGGAAAAAUAAAGUUGUUGGUGAAACUAGGUUGAGAUAUUUUUGAUACUGGCUGAUAUAAAAUAAUCUUAGGAAACAAUCUGAAGUUCAGAAAGGCACACUCAUAUUAGUUAUGCUAGGGACCUAAAGGUCAGGGAACAAUGGCAGCACUGGCUGACGUGACUCUCACUGAGGCUGGACUGGUGGUAAUUGACUUCUUAUUCUCAGUUUUGCCCUCAGCUUCCUGAUACAGUAUAAGAAUUGCUGAUGAAUAGAUAUGUAUUUUAAGGAUUUAUGAUAGAUAUGACUGCUUUUCAUAUAAAAGUUUAGAUUUGUGAUUCUUUUAAGAUUCUCACAAUAUUACUUUAAAGAUAAAUAAUAAAAUAACUACUCUUUUCUUUGUAACCACAAAUUGCAUCCUGCCAGUAAGAGAAACUGGCUGAGCAAACUCCCUUGCUUACUCACACUUUGUUAAUCUAUAACAAGUUGCUUAGUUACGAAUGUAUGUGGCUUUGGGGGAAUAAUUUGUUUUCUUUACCUGUACUAUCUAAUGUUAUUUCUUGUAAAGGUAUUGGAAAACCCAUUGUAUUUUCAUAACCAUUUACUAGAAGAAAACUAAAACCUCAGCACAUUGUAAUUGUAUAUUGCUUGAAAGAUUUUGUUGGGAUGUAUAAGCUAUGGAAGA
rnacentral:lncRNA from 1 species